UGUGGUGGCUUUCAACUCUGUCUUGAAGAAAUCAUGAAGCCAAAGUCAGAAACGGAUGAGAGAGCCACAGGAUGGGGACACUUUUCCCAUCUUGGACAUGAGGCAACACAAAGUCUGAUGCAUCACAUCUUAUACAAACUUAAGCACCCUUUCUUCAAUCUAGUCACCAACAGCUCUGGCCACCAAGAAGCAAAACGUCUUCUCCGUUUGUUCUCUCAGUUGCCUGACACUUGAAAAUCGUCUCCAUUUUUCUAUAAGAAGGUUCCGGGAGAACACAGAAAGGAAUGCAGACAAAGGCAAUGAAAUUCCUAAGUCUGUGACUAUUUAAAUGGCCAUGGAAGCUGCAGUCAUAUCUAACAAUUAAGAAGUGCUGUGCGACUAAUUAAAGUACAGAGAGCAUCAGUGGAGUGCUCUGCCACAAACAGGACAUUGCUGCCAUCCCACUGUGGAAGAUGAGUGAGAAGAAUUUAAGAGCCAGAAUUCAAAGAGGACCGGAGCAGAAUCAUCUUCUAAACAUGAUAGGACUCACAAACUGACAGUGUGAUGGUCACUUACACAAGACCCUAGCUUUGCAACAUUCCAGCAAGAGAGGGGAAGGGCCUCACUGCUCCCCACACCUACCUGAGGAGCUGACGACAGCUGAUGGCUUCUGGGGAAGAAAGAGAGUCUGUUUUCUUGAACGGUGUAGCCCCUGGUACAUUGACUAGCUGAUAACUUAGAUCCACAAGUAUAUGCAGUGCAAACUAAGACUUGGUGUUUUUGAGUGAGUGAGUAAGAAAUAGAGAAGAAAGAGCACAAGUAAGCAAGUGUGCACGAAGUUGGGAGUGGGUGAAAGGUGAGGGGAGGUGCUUGAAGGAGAUAUGGGGAGAAGUGGGGGUGAGUAUAAUAAAAAUACACUCUGGGAAA